GACGAACCGUGCGAACGUUGUUCGGAAUCACUGGGCUUAAAGGGCGCGUAGGCGGGUUUUCAAGUCUGUGGUGAAAGCCUCCAGCUUAACUGGAGAAGUGCCGUGGAUACUGGGGACCUCGAGGAGGGUAGGGGCAUCUGGAACAGCCGGUGGAGCGGUGAAAUGCGUUGAUAUCGGCUGGAACUCCGAUGGCGAAGGCAGCCCCCUGGGCUAACACUGACGCUCAGGCACGAAAGCGUGGGGAGCAAACAGG
rnacentral:rRNA from 1 species